GCUGCAGACAAAGCCAAUUCCCUCACUCACUUACAGCAACCAGAAACAGGAAGCAAGCAUAUUUCUGUUCCUUUACAUGCCUUCCAAGCCAUCAUUCACAUCAUUGUUCAGAGGACUUGAGAACUUCCAUACUUCUCAGGCAGCUUUCCACAAAAUUAACUCUCCAGUGCAAUGAUUUUUAUCAGUGCAUUUUGUGGCAUGGCACAGUUCUUCAUUAAGGAAAGGUAGAAAAUUUUGCAGGAGAUAAAAAAUUUGCACUUCAAAAGCUUUCGUUGUGGUUAAACUGGAAGUCCCCAUCUCCAGAGUGGCUGCCGAUUGUAACAUAACAAAGAAGC